ACCGUUUUGGUCUUAAACUUAUUAUUACUUCCUACCAAAAUUAUACAUGCAAGCCUCCACGCACCAGUGACUAUCUGCCCAAACUUCGGAGCAGGCAUCAGGUACACACCCCGUAGCCUAAAACGCCUAGCCCAGCCACACCCCCACGGGGCCCAGCAGUAAUUAACAUUAAGCAAUAAGCGACUACCCCAAGCUUGACUUAGUUAUGGUAAUACCAGGCCGGUGAAUUUCGUGCCAGCCACCGCGGUUAUACGAAAGGCCUAAAAUAAUACACCCGGCAAAAAGCGUGACUAAAGCACGCAAUCCCCCGUGCGACUUAAACCACAGACCAAGUUAUAAAACACACAAGACACACUAGUGAAACCCUUCCCCCGUCCCAUUAAAAAUUAACUCUUGACUCACGAAAACCAAGGAACAAACUAGGAUUAGAUACCCUACUAUGCUUGGUCAUAAACCUUGACAUAUUACAUGUCCGCCAGAGGACUACAAGUGAAAAACUUAAAACUCAAAAGACUUGACGGUGUCCCACAUCAACCUAGAGGAGCCUGUCCUAUAAUCGAUACUCCACGAAGUACCUCUCCUUUUCUAGCGACUUUUCACAGCCUAUAUACCGCCGUCGUCAGCCUACCCUAUGAAGGCCACCAAAUAGACAAACUAGUUUUACCCACGAAAACGUCAGGUCAAGGUGUAGCACAUGAAAAGGAAAGAGAUGGGCUACAUUUUCUAAUAAGAAAACACCACAUCACCCUGAAAAAGUGCCCAACGGUGGAUUUAGUAGUAAGCUGAGUAAGAACGCUCAACUGAACCAUGCUCUGGGACGCGUACACACCGCCCGUCACCCUCCUCCACCCCAUCCAAACCCCCUCCCUAAAUCACUUCCACCAAAACAGAUGAGGCAAGUCGUAACAUGGUAAGUGUACUGGAAAGUGCACUUGGACU
rnacentral:ncRNA from 1 species